CACUCCCUCUCUAUUCUUCCUGUCAAGCAAAGCAUAGACCUUUGGUUUUGAUCACGAGUGUGCUGCAGGCUUCAACAAUGCUAACUGAACAAGCACCAGGACCUGGUUUUCAGUCCAGCCUUCACAUAAAAAAUAAAUACAUGCUUUCAUUAAUGUCCCAUGUGGUGGUGGUGCAGACCUGUAACCCCAGAGUUGGCAGUGUAGGGGGAGACAGGAGGAUCCCCAGGUCUCACUGGCCAGCCAGUGGCAGAAUCAUCAAGACAAGAGUUCCAGUGAAUCCUAUCUCAAAAAAACAAGGAGGCUGGCUCCUGAGGAACAACCACCAAGGCUGACUUCUGGUCUCCACACACAAGUGUACCAGCAUACGCACAAGUACACCCACAUCCGCACACAUACACUCAUAUAUAAAAUGUUAAAAGUUUUAAAUAAAAAAGAGUCUGAGAUACUAAGUGAACUGUGUUUGAUGGAUCAGAAUCCUUUCUGUAUGAAUAGGAUCUUUGUCAAGAUCUAGAAUUUUAAAAAAAAAUUCUAGAAUUUUCUGUUAAAAACUCAUGAAUUUACACAGAUGGCUAAUUUUUUUUCUUCCCAGCUUUGUGUGUAGGCAAAGCAUCCAAAUGCAAAGAAAUUAAAGACGGUCUGUCAUGUUUGGUUAAAUAUCAAGUAUAUAUAAAUUCUCCCCGAGGGAUAAGAGAAUCAGAUGUGGACAUUGGAUGCUCUGAGCCAUGGUGCUUACCACAGCAACACAAGGAAAACUAGAGCAGAAGCCAACAUGUAAGAGGUGAGCGGAGUAAAGAGCAGACGGUGGCUUCUAGGCUGGAGGCGGGGGUAGGGACGGGCAUAGGGGGACUCUCUGACUGCUGGUCUUCCAAUUCUGCAGUAUAUUAAUAGUUACACGAAACUAGGGCAGACAGACAGAAAGAAUUCAGGGAAUGGGGAAGGGAAAGGACCUCCGCGCUCCAGUGUCUGGCUGAAGUCUCUCACCAGAGUCAAAAAUUCCACACAACUACCAGAGCUUUCCAUGACGGUUAGAUUGCGUGCCUCCACAGCGACAAUGUCUCUCUUAUGAGGACGUGUUCCGAUAAGAACACUAAAAUACAGCGAAGCACGUACAGGAUGUAUGUAUGAUCUACAAGUAGAGCCCAUCCCUUUCCUGACUGUGCACCUGCAUUUUCCAGGAAUCUCACAGAAACCCAAAUUUACAGAAAGAGGACGAAUUCUCACUACUUGGGCGACCUUGAGAACUUUACCUGCAUUAUCAGAAUGCAAUCCUGCCCUAAGCACCUGAGGGAGGGGGGCUCGCUGUACUCUCAUUUGCAGUAAAGCGGGGAAGGGGGGACUUUAGAAACCCGUUCAACAAUAUAAUUCCCAAACCUCUGAAUGCUCAUUUGCAGAUUCUGCUAAGUCCUUUAAAUGUGACGCCUGAGAAGACUGGACCCACAUGCCUCCCCCGAGUCUCUCCACAUCCUACACAGGCUAAAACCCCUCUCUAUGCAUGCACUUUUACUGUGUAUCCUACUGGCUUCCCUGAAAUUCUUUCCUGCAGCAAAGUCAAGAGUUCUUUCUGGAGAACUCCUGGGGUUUCUGCAGGUGGGAAGAUGGGUCUGGGUCUUUGUCCUAGGCCUCACUGCUGCUGAGAGCAUGACCGUGAAUUUAUUAAAGGUCAUUGUCUAAGACGAACUACAAGGCAUACAUUUUAUGGCCUAUCAAUUCUACCUUUAUAAAACUGUAACCAGCCUUUACAGUUUUUAACACUGACAUGUUUUAAAUUUGAUAAUAUUCCAGUUCCAAAAAAAAAAAAGAUUGUAUUUUAGGAGAAAAUUCAUAUUAUAAAUGUUCAUUUGCAGAAAGAAUGUAAUUUUCCAUCAUUGGAAAAAGUUCUGCAGCAAUCUAAAAGGAAAAUAUCUUUAAGGUUUUUCUAUUUAUUCCAAAUGGAUGAUUUCAUAUAACAGCUCCAAAAGUCACUAAAGCAGCACCAAAUGCUGAGGAGAGAGCAUUUGAAGGCUUUCCAACCAUUUUGUCAAGUGGCACAUGCUUGUUCACAUGCUCAAAUAGUAAAAGGGUCUGAAUUUGAUAAUUAAAUAUUAAAAGAGCACCAGAAUUUGAUAAUUUUAGGGGAAAAAAGUUAUUUCGACACCCUCCUGGGUAAAGUUUAUACGGCGUCACAAUGAAAAAUGAACACGCCUAGGAUAAAAAGAUGCACAUAGAUCUUAUGUGCUAAAACCUUUGGAAAACACCACAAGGCACAGCAUAGAACAUGGUGAAGGGUGGGUCUGUCCCACCCUGGAUAGGAUUCACAAGGGCCCGUUACCUCUGCCCUGUCUCUGUAUCUCUGAAGUGAAGACAGCAAUAGCGUCUACCACACGGUGGGGUUGGCACGGUAAAAGGAAACUGAAUGCUUGGCGUAGGGAGGCAUGCGGAUAAUAGGAGCAAGUCUGCUCUCAAUGGGCUCAAUAACCUGAAGUUUGUGCUGAUUGGAAGCAAAAUGCCCUUCCCUUCCCCUUCAGGCUAAGAAUUUAAAGUUUAUUCCCUACAAGAUGGUGCUGUUUGCAGGGGAGGGCAGGGGUUGUGUGACGGUGGGGUUCUGGAACCUCUAGGAUGUGGAGCCUUGCUGGAGGAAGCAGUCACAGUCAGGGUCCUCAAUGGGUUCCCCUCAUCCUGUUCACCCUCUCUGCUUCCUAUGUGCUAAUGACACGACAUUUCUCAGCAUUCUGCUCUUGCUGCCUGCGGCCAUGCUUGCCUGGCCAUUACAGCCUCUCUGAACCCUCAAGACAAAAUAAAUGUUCUUCUCUAUGCUGCUUUUGGCCAUGGCAUUUUGUCACAGCCACAGAAAUGUAACGAAUACACCUGCAUCCUUGGGCCUUUGCUUCCCGGGGAGGCCGGUACACCAGACAUGCUGAUACCAGCUGGGCAUAACAAACUCUUUCUCGGCUGUGAUUCAUUCCACACUGUGUUACUGUCAUCCCCUGACUCAUAGAUGCUGCUAAGUCUGGAUUUCCUUCAGCUGAUAGCAAAAGAGGACAGAGCAAAGGCUGCUCCGACAGAAUUCACCCAGCAGGUUCACUCCCACAGCCCGUCCAAGUGAGAGAAGUCCAAGAAAAGGAUUAAAUAAUUUAAA
rnacentral:sRNA from 1 species